rnacentral:misc_RNA from 1 species
CAUAUCUACAUGGCAAAGUCCUUGCUCUGUCUGAAGUUCAUAUCUUGACUUGAAAAGAGAUGCCUAAGAAUUGGUACUUGAAUUGAGAUGUCUACGUGAGGUGAUCUUGUCUUGACAUAGCUUUCUUUGCUAAACUUUUAUAUCCGUUCACUGGAGAUUUUUCGAGUCAAGUGGUAGGAAGAGGAUUGUGAUUUUAGGUGGAAAGUUAGUAAUUCUGAUUAAAAAGGUUUCAUGAUAGAACUUGUGAGGAAUCUUGUAUAUCACGAUAUGUUCAGCAUUAUAAAGCUUCCAUCGAAAUAAAUUUUAGCUGUAAUCAACUUGAUUAUAGUUGUGCUAACAUUUUGCAUUUGAUAAAAUAAUAUGAAAAUGGCAUCAGACCAAGUCCUAAUGGGCAGUUUGUGAAUCUUGUUUUUCAGAGUUUGAACCCUUAAAGCUGCAUCUUGAGAAUUAAUAGGUUCCUCCAGCAAGUAGCCUAAUAAGUUGUUUAAGACAAGCCUCAACAUGUUUAGUUGAACUAGAAAGUGAUCUGGAAUUGCUCCCUUUAGAAGCCCACUCUACUGCUGUAUAGGUCUGUUCAUACACACCAGUUUUGGUAGCAAAUAAUACUGCUGCUUUUAGCCAAUUUUGUGAACCUCAUCUUAGGUGCUUUCAAUCUCCUUAGGUUGGCGAGUACAAGAAACAUUGUCUUCCCGCAACCCUUUUUUCUCCAAUCUGAUAAUGCUUGAAUUCGACCAUUAAGAAACAAUUCCUCAUUAAUUAUUAAGCUGAAUGGUGGAGUGUUUUAAGUGGCUGUUUUAACCAAAAUAUAAGUAGCAAUGGAAGAGUCUUUGUUGACUGAAAUGCUCGCAUUUAUAUGGAAAUAUAGUCAAGGAUGAGGAGAUUUAAUGAAUUAUGUGAAAUAUUCAGCACUUUUCCUCUGAGCAUAUAGUGUAUACAUCGUCAAGGUGUCCCAGGUGAAUAUGUAAGACUGCCUAUUAAUUAUAUUCAUCCACAUAUCUAUGAACUCCUCUUUGUUGUUUUUAUGUGUGGUGAAUGGUGAUUAACCUGAUUCUCAUCACCCUAGCCUGUGCUUACAGUAUCAUGUUACUGUUUCCAUUGGCUGUGACGCUGAUGGCUUCAAUGAUAUCCUUAUUAUUACUUUUUCUGCUCUUUUAUUUUUUCAUGUUUUUGUAAGUUUUUCAUUGAAAUAGUCCUAUCACUACUCAUGAGUAAUGAAUAUGGUGGCAAAACUGGAAAUAGACAACUGGCUUUCUAUAUGCGUCUAUUGUGAAUUAUUUGCUGACCAUGGGAUCACGUGUAUGACAUUAAAAUAUUCUAGCAAUUAAAAAUUUUGGCAAACUGUUAUGAUGACAGUGUUUCCAUUUAUGCUGUAGAUUUGUGCAUGAGUCAUGGUCAUGGGGGAUACUUCUAUGUGCUUGGACCUUGGAGUGUGACAUUAUACGGAGUAUGCAAAUGUGUCACCUUUAAAACUUCGGUUGAUAAAGACCUUUGACUAAUUGUUAUUUUUACACUCGUGCUCUGCUUCCUAGGGUCCUGUAGUUAUGUAUAUAUCAGAGCCAGUGUGCUUAAAAGAUUUCUAGGCCAAACGGUGAACCAAGUCAAGGUGGCCAUCCUUAGUAGAAAGAUUAGGAAAUUUUAAACUGGAUAAAUUACCAUUUUUCUGUAUGUGUUUGUAUUGGCAUCUUAUAAGUGGAAACCAGUUUCCACUGUGGGUGGAAAAAAUCAUGGAUCCUGACCCUUUGAGCAAGCAUUUUGAUUCUAGCAGAAGCAAGUGAUAUUAAAGAAUUUAGGCCACAUGUUUCAGCAUUAGGCCGCAUGUUUCAGCUCUCGCCUCUUGGAUUGGGAGUAUAUCAGAGGCACACACAUCAUUUAUGAGCAAAUUUGGGUCAUCAUUCUGCUGUCUUUGUUUCUUACCUACUGUACAAAGCACAAAUGAGUAACCAAAGAGAAUAAGGUCCCAUCUGCAUCAUGUCAUUAAGUGUGCAUCUGAUCUUUUACCUAAAUCAAAGAUGUUCAUUUGUAGACAAGUUUACUUGGCUAGACAAUUUGCAUUCGAGUGCUCGUAAAGACUCAAAACUAACCAAAACAACAAUGGAGUAACACUUGACUCGUUUUUAUUGCUUCCUACUGUGACAAAUUUAAUAUAUCUAAUUCUGUAAGAGAGACAUGGACGCAAAUAGACGGAAGAUAGACUACUAAUUAUGGACUGAAGAUCUGGUAGUGAGCGAUGACCUCAUAUCUACAAUUGCAGAUUCAUCUGCUCCUAAAUUAAUGGCCUCUUUGCUAGCCCUUAUGAACCUUGUAACAGCACCCCUCACGUACUCGUGCGCUUCUCGCACAUUCAUCUUUUUGCUCAUCCCAUCAGGGAAGCUGCUCAAGAAGUGGUCGCCAUUAAGAACCGCCGCUAGUUGAACUAUCUCGCUCUGAAAUUCAGAUAGGCUACUAUCUUCCUUUGCUUCGGUGCUUCUCAUAGGCGCCACAUUCGGCAAGGUCACUGGGCAGUCAGUCCUGGGAGAGGUUAACUCCCCAACAACUCCUUCAAAUGUGCCAGCCCAAGCAUCCCUGUGGGUCAAGAAAUUGGAGGAGAGGUUGAAAAUUUUCUUUAUGGUGGCAGGGAUCGAUGAGUGCUCGAACUCUGAGUUUGGAGAAGGGCCACUUAUCACUAGGGAAAAAAAUGGAAAAGAAAAAAAAAACAGAACAUCAGCCCAAAAAGAAACAAAUAAAUGCUAUCGCAAUAUAAAAGAAAAGUGAAAGAAUGAACUCAAGAACAAAUCUCUAUUGAUUCAGAAGUCCAAAUAAAUAUUACCGGUGCCUUUCUUGAUCCAAGGGGAGACCAUAAUUGUGGGCACACGAACGCCAAGGCGAUCGAACUUGAAGAAAUAAGGUGCAGGGCCGGUGUUCCCAUCCGGGUUAGGGACAUGUCCAUAAGGAGUCUUGACAUGAUCAUAGAACCCACCAUGCUCAUCAUAAGUAAUGACCAAAAGGGUCUCAUUCCAUUGAGGACUAGACCUUAGUGCCUCAUAAACCUCCUUGACAAGCUUUUGGCCAUUGGCAACAUCAUGAGAUGGGUGGUCAUCAUUCGCGGGCAAUCCCUUAAGAUCAAAAUACCUUGGUUCAAUUACAGUUAAGCUAGGUAACUUUCCAUCUCUAGCAUCUUUCUUAAACUUUAAAUCGUAUUGGUGAAACUUAAACACAUACUUCAAUUUCCUCAUAUUCCUAUAAAACAGAGUUGUGGGUAUGUUCUGGAAGUAAAUCCCAAACUUCUUACCAUUCUCAUGAAGUGAAUCAAAUAUAGUCUUUUGAGGGUACCCUUGAGCCAAUUGCUUCUUAACAUGGCUGGUUGAGCCGUGAGAGGUAGCAGAGUAUACAAAUAGCCUAUUGGGUUGCGUUGGACCAGGGAUUGAAGAGAACCACCUAUCAAACACUGCAAAUUCUUUUACCAGAGUGGCAUAAACAGGCACAGAUUCAGACCUAAAACCUUUCAUGACAGUUUCAGAGAGGUUUUGAGACAUCGUGAGCGCUUGUUCAACAAAGCCUGUCAUGGAGGGAAUUGGGCCAUUGCCAAAUACCUGUUGCUCCACAGCUUCAAAGGAGUGGCCAGGAUCUGGAUCCACGAACUCCGCAUCAUCUGUGAAGCAAAUAGACUGUUGCUUUGGGUUCUGGGUCGAUACAGGGUUACAUUCUCUUCCUGUCACCCCAUUGAUUGCUGGAUUCACCGUUUUCUUCAUCCACCCAAGCAUGUGAUCGAAAGAUCUGUUUUCCAUCACCAAAACCACAAUGGUCUUGAUGGGAUUUUGCUGUUGUGCAUUGGAAACACAUGAUAGAGUGAGAAACAGCAGGAAAAUGGAGGAAAAUGAAGGCGUUCUGGUUCUGAAUCCUCUCAUGCUGGUUUGAUAAGAGGAUAACCCUUGAGGCAAAUGGGUUUAUUUUAGCUUUAGCUUUAAGAUGAUGGGUUCUACUUUAUAUUGGAAUCAAGAACUCACAAGGGAGCUAUUGGCACGUCAAGUAAAAUUUACUGGGUAUCUUAUAUAGUUGCUGCUGUAUAUAUCUAUCUUUCCUUGGAUAUUUUUGACCGUGAUAGAGGAUUCAUGUGUUGGUUUUGGUAGAGUACAGACAUAGCAAAAGAAUAAAGAAGCUUCUGGUUUUCAUAUGCAGUUUAGUUUUUGCUUUUCAUGGCGUUUUUAAAAUAGCAGUAAUCAAAAUUCAAAAGUAAAAGCAGGAAAAUG